AGUGAACGCUGGCGGUAUGCCUAACACAUGCAAGUCGAACGGCACCACUUUUUUGGCUUGCUCUUACGGUUGUCGAUUUGUGGCCGGGUGACGAACACAUCGGUAUCUCCUUUUUCGUGGGCCUUCACGUAGGGAAUCUCACUCUAAUACCGCAUACGACCUCCCGUUGACACCCGGCGUUCUUUGAUCCUUUCGCGAUUGCUUGGGCGGAUGUCGGUUUAGCUACUUUGCGAGAUAAAGGCCCACCAAGGCCACGCUCCGUAGCUGGUCUGAGAGGAUGAUCAGCCAAACUGGAACUGAGACACGGUCGAGACUCCUACGGGAGGCAGCAGUGGGGAAUAUUAGAGGAUGGGCGCAAGGCUGAUAAAGCCAUACCGCGUGAGUGAAGAAGGCCUUAGGGUUGGAAAGACCAGUUGUUGGGAAGGAAAAGCAGCAGGUUAAGAAAGGGCGGUUAUGACGGUACCCGAAGAAUAAGCACCGGCUAAAUACGUG
rnacentral:rRNA from 1 species